CUCCAGAACCCUAAACAAGGAAGAAGACGUAGCUAGGGUUUCAAAUCAGACGAAAAAAUGACGUUCAAGUAUCAUCAAUAUCCGGUUGUGGGAAGGGCAUUACCCACUGAGGAGGAGGAUACUCCUAAGAUUUAUAGGAUGGAGCUUUGGGCAACCGAUGAAGUUCGUGCUAAAUCUAAGUUUUGGAUAAGAUGAUUCAGCUUCGCCAAAAAAACAUCAGAGCAAAGAAAUGAAGAUGACAUUUAUAAUAAGGUUUUUGGAAGAAGAUUUAUAGAAGAGACGUAAGGAUCGUGGCUUAUGGAGAUUAUGUUCAAAACUCUGAAUUAUUCCGGCAAGAGAUUCAAAUGUUGAACCAAAUAGACCUGGAUGAAUAGUUCAAGUUAUGAAUGUAGUAUUUAAAUAUAGUUCAAGUUAUGAAUGUAGUAUUUAAAUUUUUAGUGUUUAGAAUAA